rnacentral:tRNA from 1 species
GCGGGUAUAGUUAAAAGGCUUAAUGCCACCCUUCCAAGGUGGAGAUGUGGGUUCGAUUCCCACUACCCGCUCCA